UGAAUAGUUUUAUUCAAAACUACCAAUUGUUUCUUACAAGGGCUAG
rfam:Culex pipiens quinquefasciatus supercont3.448 genomic scaffold, whole genome shotgun sequence.